CUCCAGCAGCAGCAGCUCCGGAGAAAACCGGCCCCUUACCUUUCCCUUCCACCCUUACCUGGGGCAGGGCCCGCGGCGGGAACCAGCUUCCACAUGGGUCCGGUUCCUCAGGACCCGGGCGGACCACCGGCCGCGUCGCAGGGGAUAGCCGACGUGCACGCGGUCCCACCGCCUGCAAUGCGCGGGAACCCGAGGACGUGCGCGCUCCCGGCAGCCGCGCAAGCCCCGUUGGAAACCGAGGGAUGAGGCGGGAAUACGAUUGAGCGCUAGUGCGCCACCUGGUGUUUUGAUCUGGAACAUCCCACAAAGGCUCACAUGUUGAAGGGUUGGUCCUCAAUGCAGCAAUUUUCAGAGCUCUGCUCCACCAUGCCCUCUCCACCAUGAUGCUCUGCCUUACUUACCACAAGUCCACAACAAUGGGGCCAGCCAAUCAUGGACUGAAACCUCUGAAACUUUUGCUGAGUUCUGCCAUGCUCUUCUGUCAUGAUGUUCUGCCUCACCUCAGGCC